rnacentral:lncRNA from 1 species
UGGAUUGACAACACCCUCCAAGCCACCAUAAUCGGGCAUGAAUUUGGUAGCAAUACCUAGAAUUCAUCUUCUUGACCUUUCUUUCAAUCUCCUAAAUUCUUUUCCAUCUUCAAUUCAAUCUUCCGCACACUUCUUUCCAUGAUCUAGAUGGUGGCAUCACUCAUCAGUCCACAAAAAUAAACCUAUCAUGAAGCCAAGC